UAAUACGUAGGGUGCAAGCGUUGUCCGGAAUUAUUGGGCGUAAAGAGCUCGUAGGCGGUUUGUCGCGUCUGCUGUGAAAAUCCAAGGCUCAACCUUGGACCUGCAGUGGGUACGGGCAGACUAGAGUGCGGUAGGGGAGAUGGGAAUUCCUGGUGUAGCGGUGGAAUGCGCAGAUAUCAGGAGGAACACCAAUGGCGAAGGCACAUCUCUGGGCCGUAACUGACGCUGAGGAGCGAAAGCGUGGGGAGCGAACAGGA
rnacentral:rRNA from 1 species